ACCAGCAACAGUCUUAGCUCCACACAGCAAGGUCAACCCAGGUACAAGGCUCCUAAUUACUGCAUUUCCAUGAUAAGGAGAAGAAACAGCUAGUCAACUGUACAGGCACUCUGGGAAGGCAGCAGCUGGCGGCAGGUCACGUACCGGCUUAUCCUUGAUGGUGGGGCUGGACACACACAGCUUCGGGAGAGUUGGCCUGACAAGCAUGGACCUUGGCAUCUUGUUUUGCACUGACGUGGAAUAGUUCCAUGGACUGCGGCAUUGCGUGAUGACACGUGGUUGCAUGAGAACAGUGCAGUGACCAGACGGACUCUGUCUAGUCCUUAUCCCACUCCUGGUCUGCCCUCUAACUGUUCCUCAUGGAUUGGUAAAAUUAACAAAGUAAAAAUGGCCAUCCUACCAAAGGCAAUCUACAGAUUCAACACAAUCCCUAUCAAAAUUCCAACACAAGUCUUCAAAGACAUGGAAAGAGCAAUUCUCAAAUUCAUCUGGAAAAACAAAAAACCCAGAAUAGUGAAAAAAAUUCUUAACAAUAAAAGAACUUCUGGGGAAAUCACUAUCCCUAACCUCAAGCUUUACUAUAGAGCAACAGUGAUAAAAACUGCAUGGUAUUGGUACAGAAUCAGACAUGUUUAUCAAUGGAAUAGAACUGAAGACCCAGAAAUAAAACCACACACCUACAGACACUUGACCUUCAACAAAGAAACCAAAAAUAUACAAUGGAAAAAAUAAAGCAUCUUCAAUAAAGAGUGUUGGUCUAACUGGUAGUUUGUAUAUAGAAAAAUGAAAAUAGAUUCAUACUUGUCACCUUGCACAACACUCAAGUCCAAGUGGAUCAAGGAUCUCAUCAACAUAAAACCAGAUACACUGAAUAGAAGAGAAAGUGGGAAAGAGCCUCCAACUCACUGGCAUAGGGGGGAAAUUUCCUAAACAGAACUCCAAUGGCUCAGGCUCUCAGAUGAAGAGUUGAUAAAUGGGACCUCAUGAAUCUAAAAAGUUUCUGUAUGGUAAAGGACAUAGUCAAUAGGACAAAUUAGCACCCUACAGAUUGGAAAAAAAUAUUUACUAACCCCACAUCCGAUAGAGGGCUAAUAUCCAAAAUAUAUAAAGAACCUAAGAAGCUAAUCACCAAAAAUCCAAACAAUCCAAUCAACAAAAAUAGGGUAUAGAGCUAAACAGAGAAUUCACAACAGAGGAAUCUCGAAUGGCCGAAAGCACUUAAAGAAAUGUUCAUUCAUUUUUUAUGAUUUUGAAUUACAUAUGUGUAUGUGUGUCUGCAUUUGAGGAGUGCACAGAAGUGGGGGUGCCUGAGGAUGCCAGCAGGGUUGGAUUCCCUGAAGUGAGAGUUACAGGUGAUUGUUGAGUCUCCUAAUGUGGUUCUGGGAAUUGAACUUGGGUCCUCUGGAAGAAUAGCAAGUACUCUAAACCACUGAGCCUCCUCUCCAGCCCCAAUUUCAAUUUAUGAUGUGUGUAAAAUUAACACUGAGUUGUCGUAUAUGAUGUCAUAAAAUUGUAACUCAUGUGAAUGAUAAGUACUCCUUUCUACAUUGCAUUUACAAAGUAUCUGGUGAAUAAAUGGAAAUGAUCUAGAUGUGGAAGUAAGCCUUAAUUAAAAUUACUCAAUAGGCUGAAUAGUGCCAAACAUUAAACUGGCUGGAUAUAUGCUUCCAA